GACGAACGCUGGCGGCGUGCUUAACACAUGCAAGUCGAACGGAAAGGCCCUGCUUGCCGGGUACUCGAGUGGCGAACGGGUGAGUAACACGUGGGUGAUCUGCCCUGCACUUCGGGAUAAGCUUGGGAAACUGGGUCUAAUACCGGAUAGGAACCAUCUUUAGUGUGGUGGUUGGAAAGUUUUUUCGGUGUAGGAUGAGCUCGCGGCCUAUCAGCUUGUUGGUGGGGUAAUGGCCUACCAAGGCGGCGACGGGUAGCCGGCCUGAGAGGGUGUACGGCCACAUUGGGACUGAGAUACGGCCCAGACGCCUACGGGAGGCAGCAGUGGGGAAUAUUGCACAAUGGGCGCAAGCCUGAUGCAGCGACGCCGCGUGGGGGAUGAAGGCCUUCGGGUUGUAAACUCCUUUCGCUAGGGACGAAGCUUUUUGUGACGGUACCUAGAGAAGAAGCACCGGCUAACUACGUG
rnacentral:rRNA from 1 species